rnacentral:rRNA from 1 species
UACGGAGGGGGCUAGCGUUGUUCGGAAUUACUGGGCGUAAAGCGCACGUAGGCGGCUUUGUAAGUUAGAGGUGAAAGCCCGGGGCUCAACCCCGGGUCUGCCGCGAAUACUGCUGGACUUGAGUGCUGUAGAGGCUGGUAGAAUGCCGGGUGUAGCGGUGGAAUGCGUAGAGAUUAGGAAGAACACCAGUGGCGAAGGCGACUUACUGGACUGUAACUGACGCUGAGGCAUGAAAGCGUGGGGAGCAAACAGG